CCUCAGAAUAGUUUACUCUUAUUUCAUUGAUUUAACAAUGCUCUUGAGAUCUGUAACUGAAAGAAAUAAUGAUCCAUCUACCAACUAAGCUCUGCAAAAAACACAGCAGAAAAAUAAGUUACAAUAGACUUGAUGCAUGGUGCACAGAGAUGGCAUUGACCAGACAUUGGAACCGCAACUGUUGUAGGUGCUUCUCCUGUGCUGCUCAUCCGGUCAACAGGCAGAUCAUCAUGGCAAAUAUAGCCUACAACAGCU